GUGGGCAACCUGCUCCUAUUAUCCUAUAUUUAUGAGACCGUCGUCUGCCACGAGAUAACCGUUGGAGCGAGGUGGUGAGGAGAUAACCGUUGGAGCGAGGUGGUGAGGCGAAAACCCUAGAUAGCGUCCAGUCCUCCUUCUCUGCCACCGCCAUUGUUGCCAGAGCCUGCGAUCUCCCUUGCCGUUUCGGCGGUAUCACCUCGAGACCACGCCGUGUCCUCCACUUCGCUUCAAGCCCUUUUUGCUUCUCGCACAAUCGGGGAUCAGAGUCCCCCAAGCACGAGGGGAGCUGAUCAAGUGUUGAGGCGCCUUCUACAAACACCACAAGAAUGAGUUCUUUAAAGAUCGGCACUAUUUGGAUAAAGAUUGGGGUCACCACUUCUCGCUGAGUGCAACUAACUCGUCGAGAUCUUUUCUUGGUAACUUUAGAUGCCUGGCUCUUAGGAGUUUAGGUUUUUUCUCGCUUUAUCCGGCCAUCCGGUGAAAUCGGCCAAGAUUCUGUUCGUCCUAAGGUUGUAUUAGAAGUAAGUUCGAAUUUAAAUUCUUGUUUGAUCGUGGACAUCUUGAUCUUGUGUUCAUGUAACUAACUCGUCGAGAUCUUUUCUUGGUAACUCUAGAUGCCUGGCUUUUAAGAGUUUAGGUUUUUUCUCGCUUUAUCCAGCCAUCCGGCGAAAUCGGCCAAAGUUCUCCUCCUCGUAGGGUUGUAUUAGAAGUAAUUCGAAUUUAAAUUCUUGUUUGAUUGUGGGCAUCUUGGUCUUGUGUUCAUUUCCAAGAUUCCAUUGUGCUCA